rnacentral:rRNA from 1 species
AUUGAACGCUGGCGGCAUGCCUUACACAUGCAAGUCGAACGGUAACAGGUCUUCGGAUGCUGGCGAGUGGCGAACGGGUGAGUAAUACAUCGGAACGUGCCUAGUAGUGGGGGAUAACUACUCGAAAGAGUGGCUAAUACCGCAUGAGAUCUACGGAUGAAAGCAGGGGAUCGCAAGACCUUGUGCUACUAGAGCGGCCGAUGGCAGAUUAGGUAGUUGGUGGGAUAAAAGCUUACCAAGCCGACGAUCUGUAGCUGGUCUGAGAGGACGAUCAGCCACACUGUGACUGAGAUACGGCCCAGACUCCUACGGGAGGCAGCAGUGGGGAAUUUUGGACAAUGGGCGAAAGCCUGAUCCAGCAAUGCCGCGUGCAGGGUGAAGGCCUUCGGGUUGUAAACUGCUUUUGUACGGAACGAAAAGCCCCGGGUUAAUACCCUGGGGUCAUGACGGUACCGUAAGAAUAAGCACCGGCUAACUACGUGCCAGCCGCCGCGGUAA